rfam:Trichobilharzia regenti genome assembly, scaffold: TRE_scaffold0071951
AUUUUUUGACGAGUCCCAAAUAGGACGAAAUGCGCAUCCUGGAU